CCUACGGGCGGCAGCAGUGAGGAAUAUUGGUCAAUGGCCGGAAGGCUGAACCAGCCAAGUCGCGUGAAGGAAGAAGGAGCUAUGGUUUGUAAACUUCUUUUAUAGGGGAAUAAAGGUAGCCACGUGUGGAGAUUUGCAUGUACCCUAUGAAUAAGCAUCGGCUAACUCCGUGCCAGCAGCCGCGGGAAUACGGAGGAUGCGAGCGUUAUCCGGAUUUAUUGGGUUUAAAGGGGGCGUAGGUUGUUUUUUAAGUCAGCGGUGAAAGUUUGUGGCUCAACCAUAAAAUUGCCGUUGAAACUGGAAGUCUUGAGUGUGUUUGAGGUAGGCGGAAUGCGUGGUGUAGCGGUGAAAUGCAUAGAUAUCACGCAGAACUCCGAUUGCGAAGGCAGCUUACUAGGCCAUAACUGACACUGAGGCACGAAAGCGUGGGGAUCAAACAGGAUUAGAUACCCGUGUAGUC
rnacentral:rRNA from 1 species